UUUUCCCCUCCGCCCCGCUUCUCCCAUCUAGCCGCCGGACGGCCGUCCCACGCCGCUCCUCCGCUCGCUGCCUCUCCCAUCUAGAAUCACCCUCUCCUACGAGCGGACCGCCGCCCUCCGGUCGACCAUGUGCCGUCGCCUCGCCGCCCCGCGCUGCUGCUUGUGUGCAACGCCGUCCGCUGCAACACCUUGCCACGCCCUCCCGACCGCAAACUCCUCGCCUUGCAGCGGCGCCCGGCACGCACGCCCCCGCACCGGCCCCUCUCCAUCUCCCAGCCCCGCCGUCUACCCGUCUCGCCGCUGGCGAGGCAGCCAAGAAGAUCGCGAGCAGCGCAUCCUUUGCCGACUGCGGUGCCCCUCCAGAUGUCAUCCUGCAUCCCCUCUUUGUCUCGCGGGAUGGCCCCCAAGGAGCCGGUGUAUUUGUUGUAGGGCGAUGGUGGCUUCUCUUCUAUCCAAAAAAACAAAGUUGAGGCAAGAGCAUGAUUCAGUUGCAAGAGCAUGACAGUAGAAUUUGAUGAGGGAGAAUGAGCUCAACAGUCUUCCAGACUCCGGAUGCAGGCAUGCAACAUUGUAAGUGGACGGGCAACUAAAAUAUAAGAGUCAUUGCUGCCAUCCACGGAAAGACUUGAGUGAGGCAAAUGAAUACAAAAAGAAUCUGCCAGAUGCUACAAAGAUGACUGCAGCAGUCAUGGUUGUAAAAAAAAGCGCAUUUCAAUCAUUGAGUUUUAAAUCAUGGACAUGGAGCCAUGGAUUAUGUGAAGGAACAUCCUAAAUUGUUCGAAGUAUGUGGGAUUGCCUGUUUUGAGCUAGGAGGAUUUUGAUGUACAUAACUCUUUAUUUUUUGGAAUUCUAAACUGAAGUUUGCCACACCUUGAAUCUUUUAGAAAGAAAGGAAGAUAGAUGUAUGUGGCACUAUCUUCCUUUAUUUAUUUUUUCUCUUUGCAGCUACAGGAUUGUACAUGCGAACUACUACCUCUGUAACAAAAUAUAAGACGUAUUUUAUUUUGGUACAGAGUACAUGGAGUUCUUCUUGACUGAUUCUUUGGCAGUUUGUCUGAGUUUUUCUUGAGUUGUAAAUCUGAAAAAUUAGCGAAUUGUACCUUCUGUCUUGGUGUAUUUAGUCAACAAUUUCUAUUACCAUGUUGCAUUAGUAAAGACAUGCAGGCUACAUCUCCUUCAUCCUUACCAAUUAUCAUUACUCUUUAUUUCCACUGGGAAUUUCGAAAUACAUCUCACUGGUCAUUAUGUUUUCGAGCAUGACAAGUGCAUUGCACGUACACGAUACCAGCGAUCCCCUAAUUUUUUGCAAUGUGAUGCUUUUCUUUUUACAAUUGGUGAUCAGAUCCGAUUCGAGGUGAUCUUAGAAUAAUCGCGUAACUUAGUGUUUCUUAGAAUAAUGCUCCGACGUUUGAUUUUUGAUAUGCGCAUUUCAUAUUAAUCAAGACGUGUAUUGGCCUUUGAUCCUUUAAUUGAGAAGCUAGAGUAAUUAGUUCUGUUUUAUACGACUGACAAGAUAUAAAUAUUCUUCUGCUUCAGCUAUAAUCAGGAUUCACAUGUAAGGAGAGGAGGGUAUUGAUGGAAUCAAUUUAUUUGUUAGGUUUUUGUUGCCUUCUUGUGUCCCGAAUAGCAUUAUAAGCUCGAGUAAUUAGCUCUGUUUUAUAGGACUAACAGGAUAUAAAUAUUCUUCUGCUUCAGCUGUUUGAGUGAGUUUCCCUGCAUUGCUAUCAUUAAUUGUUACUUUGGCAGGUUCAGUGGCAGCUAUUUUGUGCACAUCAGUUGCAAUUGACAGUGGACAGAUUGUCUAUCCAGAGAUCAACUUUAUUGACUUUAGAGUAAAAGGCCAGUGGUUCCACUUUAUGUGGUGAGAAUGCUCACAAUGCAUCUUAAUUUAGGAGAUGAAUGAACUGUCCGGUGUUCUAGACAGUCCAAAGAAGUUAAAUAUUACAACUGUGUUCACUUUUUUUAGAGAGAGCUGAAUGGCAAAUGCUUCAGGUGGUGAGGCUAAAGCCGCCAGGUUUGUGAGUUUUAUGUGUAGAUACUGUUCUUUUCUUGAAAUAUUAUAUGUGAGAGGAACCAGGAGGGGGACGAGCAUGUAAAUCAAGCUUGCCUUUUCCUUGAGAGUUUACUCCGAGAUAAAAGGUGAAAGUCUGCUAUAUUGGAACAUAUUGGCUUCCAAGAGAUCAUAUUGGUUGGUGCCUGGUACAUAUGGUGGCAACAAAGGGAAUCCGUGAAGGGGGAAGUGGUGGCAAGUCUUCCUAAAUCGGCACUGGCUAUACAUGCAAUAACAACGAAUUAUGCGGGAACUUCGAGUGCUAGCCAAAUUACUAAAGGGAAGUGGUCUAAACCUUGUCACAACAUGUAUAAGAUGAACGUGGACGCAUGCUUUAUGGAGGAUGGAUGCGGGGCUACUGCGGCUGUUCUUCGAAACCACCAUAGACAGGCUUUGGCUGGUUCAUCGUCCCUGGUUAGUCACAUUCUCGAUGCCCCUUCCGCCGAGGCGAUGGCAUUGAAAAAUGGUAUGAUGCUUGCAGACCAACUUGGACGUUCCAAUAUCACUUUUGAAUCAGACUGCCUUGAAAUUAUCUUAGCAUGCAAGGGGGAAGUGGACAUUCUAAGUCCUUAUUCGGCGAUUUGGAGUGACUGCUUUAUAUUAGUUCAAAGAAUUGGGUCUGUAUCUUAUGCUCAUUGUUCAAGAGGGGCAAACCAAGUGGCACACAAGUUAGCUAGAUGUUGUUACGAUUCUAAUUCUGUAAUCUCGUGGGAUAAUGAUCCUCCAUCGUUUAUUCUAGCUGAACUUGUUUGUGAUGUAUCCCUUAUUUGAGUUGAAUAAAGUGUGCCACAAGUU